ACGGUUAUUCGAGACGGAAAAAGAAUUACCAAUUUGCCAGCGAAGGAACUUGUGCCCGGCGAUAUCGUUGAACUCAGAGUCGGUGACAAAGUCCCCGCCGAUAUGCGAGUUGUGGAGUUGAUAAGUUCGACGCUUAGAGUCGAGCAGGGGUCGCUGACCGGAGAGAGCGAAGCGGUUAAUAAAACGAACAAGGCCGUGGCGGAGGACGCUGACAUUCAGGGAAAGAGGUGUAUGGUUUUCGCUGGGACAACCGUCGUGAACGGCAGUUGCAUUUGCUUGGUUACACAAACAGGGAUGGAAACGGAGAUUGGCAGAGUGCACACUCAAAUUCAUGUGGCGUCCCAGAUGGAGGAGGACACGCCAUUGAAGAAGAAGUUAAAUGAGUUUGGAGAAUCGCUCACGAAGAUAAUCGGAGUGGUUUGUGUAUUAGUGUGGUUGAUCAAUGUGAAGUACUUUUUCA
rnacentral:misc_RNA from 1 species